rnacentral:tRNA from 1 species
GCCCCCGUAGCUCAGGUGGAUAGAGCACAGGAUUCCUAAUCCUGGGGCCGUGCGUUCGAAUCGCGCCGGGGGCACUA